ensembl:lncRNA
GGUAUAGGUGUAGGGCUGGGGUAUAGGUAUAGAGCUGGGGUAUAGGUAUAGGGCUGGGGCUGGGGGUUAGGGCUGUGGUAUAGGUAUAGUGCUGGGAUAUAUGCCUGAGGUAUAGGGCUGGGGUAUAGGGAUGGGGGAUGGGUAUAGGGCUGGGGUAUAGGUAUAGGGCUGGGGUACAGGGCUGGGGUAUAGGGCUGAGGUUUAGGUAUAAGGCUUGGGUAUAGGUAUAGGACUGGGGGUUAGGGCUGAGGUAUAGGUAUAAGGCUGGGGUAUAGGUAUAGGGCUUUGGUUAGGGCUGAGGUAUAGGUACAGGGCUGGGGUAUAGGUAUAAGGCUGGGGUAUAGAUAUAAGGCUGGGGUAUAGGUAUAAGGCUGGGGUAUAGGUAUAAGGCUGGGGUAUAGGUAUAAGGCUGGGGUAUAGGGCUGAGGUAUAGGUACAGGGCUGGGGUAUAGGUAUAGGGCUGGGUGCAUGGCUGGGAUAUAGGUAAAGGGCUGGGCUUUAGGUAUUGGGCUGGGGUAUAUGGCUAAUGGUAUAGGGCUGGG